UUCUAAUGCUUAGGGGUUUGGAUUGUUAUUAUAAGGUAGGUAUUAGCUUUAAGGCCCUGAGAUACCCCAGGUAACACCGCCCAUAGACAAGAUCCAGACGCUGCAGUUCAACCUCUUCGACGAAAUUAAGGAGAUCGGGUACCAGCACGGCGCCUCGUAUUU